rnacentral:rRNA from 1 species
GAUGAACGCUAGCGGCAUGCCUAAUACAUGCAAGUCGAACGGUAUCCAGAUCAAAGCUUUCUUUGGUCUGGUGAGAGUGGCGCACGGGUGCGUAACGCGUGAGCAACCUACCCUUGUCAGGGGGAUAGCCCGGCGAAAGUCGGAUUAAUACCGCAUGACAUCAUUUAUAGGCAUCUUUCGAUGAUCAAAGAUUUAUCUGACAAGGAUGGGCUCGCGUGACAUUUGCUAGUUGGUAAGGUAACGGCUUACCAAGGCUGCGAUGUCUAGGGGCUCUGAGAGGAGAAUCCCCCACACUGGUACUGAGACACGGACAAGACUACUACGGGAGGCAGCAGUAAGGAAUAUUGGUCAAUGGACGGAAGUCUGAACCAGCCAUGCCGCGUGCAGGAAGACGGCCCUAUGGGUUGUAAACUGCUUUUAUACGGGAACACACGUCGGUACGUGUACCGGUCUGAGUGUACCGUAAGAAUAAGGAGCGGCUAACUCCGU